rnacentral:lncRNA from 1 species
CUCUCUCUCCUCUCUCUCUCUCUUCUAUAUAUUAUAUAGUAUAUUAUAUUUAUAUAUAUAUAUAAUAUAUAUACUAUAUAGAGACUUAUAUAAUGUCUAGAUUAUCUCUAUGCCUGUAUAUGUUUUCUGUAUAAAAUGGAAAUAUAUUGCUUUGUAACAUACUUUUCUUUUAUCACAAUUUUUGGGAGCUCAUGGUACAGUGCUUACCUACAUUUGUAAAGCUGUGUGUCUGGAAUCUCUGGUCUUGGUAAGUGGAGGUAGGAGGAUCAAAGAACAAGGUGAUCUUUUGCUCUGAAGAAAUGGAGGCCAUCGUGACAUAACUUAAGACACUGUCUGAAAGGAAAAAAUGAAAUAAAAUUAAACUUUCUUGAUCCCUUUGCUCAUGACUGCUCCCUCUCUACAACUGGAUUCCAGGAACUUGGCUCAGUGCUUACCUGUGCUGGUACAGCCUUGCAAACAUGGUGAAUAUUCUUAAGAGCUGCCAGACUUUCUACAAACAUUUUAAACACCAGCCCGACAAAGUGACACAGCACAACAAGAAUUGAUUAGAAUCCUCGGUCUGUUGAGGAGCAGCAACAAUGCCAGUAGCUGAGUGGGGGUCCUCAUAUCUGUGCUGUUACCUGUGUGAGGCUGACUCCAGCACAAGCUUCUCAAUCAUCAUCUGGAAGGAAACCAUCCUGAGAAACAUCAUUAAAAACAGCUCUGAUAAAGCAUGGUCACUACUAUGUAUCAUCAAGCAGGUCCACAUAUGAAGAAACACAAAUUCUUUCUAUAAAAAUGUUCUCAUGCUGAAGAGGAAGGGGUCUGUACCAGGUUGGAGAAACCCACAGGAACAGUUGGCCUGAACAAGGGAGAGCACAUCGACCCCAGAUGCUGUCUGGGAGGCCAGUACAAG